rnacentral:rRNA from 1 species
GAUGACCUUUGGCGGCGUGCUUAACACAUGCAAGUCGAACGAAGCACUUAUCUUUGAUUCUUCGGAUGAAGAGGUUUGUGACUGAGUGGCGGACGGGUGAGUAACGCGUGGGUAACCUGCCUCAUACAGGGGGAUAACAGUUAGAAAUGACUGCUAAUACCGCAUAAGACCACAGAGCCGCGUGGCUCGGUGGGAAAAACUCCGGUGGUAUGAGAUGGACCCGCGUCUGAUUAGGUAGUUGGUGGGGUAACGGCCUACCAAACCAACGAUCAGUAGCCGACCUGAGAGGGUGACCGGCCACAUUGGGACUGAGACACGGCCCAAACUCCUACGGGAGGCAGCAGUGGGGAAUAUUGCACAAUGGGGGAAACCCUGAUGCAGCGACGCCGCGUGAGCGAAGAAGUAUUUCGGUAUGUAAAGCUCUAUCAGCAGGGAAGAAGAAUGACGGUACCUGACUAAGAAGCACCGGCUAAAUACGUGCCAGCAGCCGCGGUAAUACGUAUGGUGCAAGCGUUAUCCGGAUUUACUGGGUGUAAAGGGAGCGCAGGCGGUACGGCAAGUCUGAUGUGAAAUCCCGGGGCUCAACCCCGGUACUGCAUUGGAAACUGUCGGACUAGAGUGUCGGAGGGGUAAGUGGAAUUCCUAGUGUAGCGGUGAAAUGCGUAGAUAUUAGGAGGAACACCAGUGGCGAAGGCGGCUUACUGGACGAUUACUGACGCUGAGGCUCGAAAGCGUGGGGAGCAAACAGGAUUAGAUACCCUGGUAGUCCACGCCGUAAACG